ensembl:ncRNA K03D7.12 ncRNA
GCGCGAAGGAUGGUGUAGUGGAUAGAGGCCUCCAACACUGCGAGAACGACGACGGUUCGAGUUCGGCAACUAGUGAAAAUGGGCGGAGCAAUGGGGUACCCCGUGGAUCAUGAUGGUGAGACUGUCCAGGUAUUCGGUAGGGUAAGGAAGGGUUCUAGGG